rnacentral:lncRNA from 1 species
AAUAGUGAAAGAAAAUGAGUGAGUACUCUAUAUAAAUACAUUUUAUUUAUUAUCACUGUGAUGUACUCAUUAAAGUUUAGACUGCAAGCCCCCCCGCUCCAGCCACUCCACUGGGUGAUGUACGGGCGGGUGGUCGUGUGAGUCGCAUUGUGACAUAUUAUUGUUUAUUAUUUCCUACACCUACCUACCAUACGAGGAGGACAGCACAAAAUUGGCGACGAGGUGAAAAUUUGUAAGUAAAAAAAAAUAUAUAUAUGUCAUACGACUACAAAAUUACCUGUUCUAAUCAGUCCAAAGAGUGUGUAACUAUCGCGUUGUUAUUUUAAUGUAACUUGACACGAAUAACAUUAAACUGUUAAAUUUCUAAAUUCACAAGGAAGAGAGAAGAUAAUUUAUUAAUUCUCAAUCAAUUUAUUAAAUAUAGAAAAGACUAAAAGCAAUUUCAAAAAGAAAUAAAGACUUGAUUCUAUAAAUGGUAUAGAGAAAGCAAAAUAUUGAUAAAACAUAUUACGGUGCAUAGUACGUUUUGUAAUUUAGCGACACACUGUGACUGAUUUUAACGCGUUUGCGCAUCGUAGUCGUACAAUAACUUGCUAUACAUGCCUAAACAAAUGGUCGGCGUUUGUUGAUGUCUAGGUAUACCGUACCGCAAGCUUUCUGUUUAUAUUUACAUCACAAGUAUAAGUGAUUAUAACAGUUGAAUUCUUAAGAUAAGUGGUACGGGGAUACCAGCGAAUACUGACUUUACAUACAACAAAAUGUACCUGCAUGUAUUAGCCGAGUCGGAGUAAUUAUUCUGACAAAUAAAAUACACCGUACAAUCCGAAUGAGCAAAGCCCAUCAAAUACAUAAUUCAACAUAAACUGUAAUCUAUUUAGAUACAAGUUUAUGCAAUUGGUGGUUCCGAUUAUAGAGGUUGCUUCCAUAAUAAAUAGAUUUGUAUGUAGGUAUAAACCUAAUACAAAUGUAAUUAUCAUAAGAUAAUUAUGAUAUAUUCAAACACUUCACAUUAACUUCAUUAUUUGACAGAUAUUUGGUAAGAGUUGAGGUUACGAUUUUGUUUUUCUUACAAGGAACCAGCAGGCUAUUAGCGUUGCCGGUAGUUCUCUGCUUAAUUCUGAGUUGGUUACCCUUUCGCCGUUGGGGCACAUAAAUUUACCUACGUAUUUAUGUUGGUUUAUAAGUUCAAAAGGCUGUGUUUGUAACUGAGAAUAAUCCAUUUAUCCACCUGUACAACAAGUACAAGUAUUCGCAUUUACAAUAUUGUUGCCUACAAUUAUAAUAGCAUACAUUAUUACGGUAGUAUGGUAUAAUCAUUUAAUAAAAAAUAAAAUAAAAAUAGCCUUUAUUCCUGAAUUACAGAUUCUUUUUUUUAAAUUGUAAAUAUGUGUAAAUAAUUAAUGUUGACAUCAGCAACAUCUUAUUUUUCAGGUUGUUUUAGAACAACCAUUUUAGUAUAAUCAUUUAUAAACACAAAAUUCUCGAAAAAAAUAUAAUAAUAAUAACUUAUAAUAUUUUAUUUAGAUUCAAUCCUUGACGGGGUAGUCCGACGCAUUUGUUGACUACGAUAUACGGUUAAUAUAUUUAUUAAUAAUAGUAACAUAAUUGGUUAUUUGUCAAUUAUCAUUAGUUGACAGUAUUUAUAUAAAUACGUAUAAAUAAUGUACCACCCAUAAAAUUCCCGUUUUGCAAAUUGUCUUAUUAUGACAUCUAAAUUGUCAAAUCGUAGAAAAUGCAGUUCCUCAGAACUUAAGCUAAAAGAUAAUUCUACUAAAAUAUAAAUAAAUAUUGUGGAAGCAAUUCAAUAGAGACUGAUGAAAGAUCAGUAAAAGGACACCAAAGAAACCAAAUCUUGUAAAGAGAUUUCAAACGGAAAAAAUAUACGGUGUAUGAAAUGCGAGAGUACAUAUCAAAAUAGUUAUGAUGCACAAUGUGUUGCAAGAAAUAACUUCUGCUAAAAGUGUGGAUUUAUAAGCCAUUUAGGUCAAAAGCAAUAUCGCACUAAUCGAAAUAAGUGCAUGAAUGUGCUAGCGCUAGUUAUAUGAUGAAAUAAAUAGUAUAAACCAAAUAAUCCAUCAAGUAAAAAAUAAAUAAAGUUACCAAACAAUCAUUCAACUCUCCUAUAACUACAUUCAUACUGAAUGUUGAACAUACUCUAUUCCACUAUUAAAAUAUCUUGCCAAAAUGGUGGAACCAAAUAUUAACUAUACUCUAUUCCACUAUAAAAUAUCUUGCCAAAAUAGUGGAACUAAAUGUUAACCAUACUCUAUUCCAUUAUAAAAUAUCUUGCCAAAAUUGUGGAACUAAAUGUUAACCAUCCUCUAUUCCAUUAUAAAAUAUCUUGCCAAAAUUGUGGAACUAAGUGUAACUCUAUUCUAUUAUAAAAUAUCUUGUCAAAAUGGUGGAACUAAAUGUUAACCAUCCUCUAUUCCACUAUAAAAUAUAUAUCUUGCCAAAGUGAUGGAGUUACAUUAAACAUACCCAUUGAUUUGGGUACUAAACUAGUAUACCCAUAAAUUCGGUUACAAAACUAACAUACCCAUCAAUUCGGGUACAAAACUAACAUAAUAAUUGACAUAAUAUUAUAUACCCAUCAAUUCGGGUACAAAACUAACAUACCCAUCAAUUCGGGUACAAAACUAACAUACCCAUCAAUUUGGGUACAAAACUAACAUACCCAUCAAUUCGGGUACAAAAGUAACAUACCCAUCAAUUCGGGUACAAAACUAACAUACCCAUCAAUUCGGGUACAAAACUAACAUAGUAAUUGACAUAAUAUUAUAUACCCAUCAAUUCGGGUACAAAAGUAACAAUAAUAAUAAUAGUCGACAAAACCUAGGACUACUUAAAAAAAAAAAAAACUAACCAAGAAAAUCUGACAAAAUUCUAGGACAUAUAGUCCUAAAGACUCGCUGAUGUACUGGGCCCAUUUAAAAUGUCAGUAUUGGUUGGAUCUGGAAGAAGUAGAGAAAAAUUGUACUUGCAGCUUAUUGUGUACCUAAGAGACUGCUAUGAUUCUUUAUAUAUUACAAUUAAGUUGUAUAUUUAUUUACUAAACACAAAACAA